GACGGAGGAUGCAAAGUGUUAUCCGGAAUCACUGGGCGUAAAGCGUCUGUAGGUGGUUUAAUAAGUCAACUGUUAAAUCUUGAGGCUCAACCUCAAAAUCGCAGUCGAAACUAUUAGGCUAGAGUAUAGUAGGGGUAAAGGGAAUUUCCAGUGGAGCGGUGAAAUGCGUAGAGAUCAGGAAGAACAUCGGUGGCGAAGGCGCUCUGCUGGACCAUAACUGACACUCAGGGACGAAAGCUAGGGGAGCGAAUGGG
rnacentral:rRNA from 1 species